GUGGACGCAUCACUGGUGUUCGGGUUGUCAUGCCAAUGGCACUGCCCGGUAGCUAAAUGCGGAAGAGAUAAGUGCUGAAAGCAUCUAAGCACGAAACUUGCCCCGAGAUGAGUUCUCCCUGACCCUUUAAGGGUCCUGAAGGAACGUUGAAGACGACGACGUUGAUAGGCCGGGUGUGUAAGCGCAGCGAUGCGUUGAGCUAACCGGUACUAAUGAACCGUGAGGCUUAACCUUACAACGCCGAAGSUGUU
rnacentral:rRNA from 1 species